UUACACGAGGUGCACUUGGUGCGUGGAAGCCUGUGGAGAAAGUUUGAGUACUGUCAUGAGCCUGUUUUUAAUGCUAGAAUUAUGUAAUAUCUCUUAUCCAGGUUAAAAUGAGAAACUCCCCCAUUUUUGUAAUUUUUGACGUAAGGAUAUUUGGGCUGACACUGCACUUUAGACCGAGAGCCAGGAAAGUUAUCAGCAUGGUGGAAGUCAAGCUGUAGAACCCCAGAGAUCAGACACGACAUAAAAAUGGUCUUUUGAUCCAUUAAGGUGAAGAAAAUAAUUAAAUUUCUGCAUGUUCCUUCCAGUAAAAUAAUUAUUCAGGAGAAAAAGUGGUCAGACAAAGAAUCAUUCCACAAGGAGAAAUAUCAUAAAAUGCAAAGUAUUUUCUUAUUACUUUUUUACUACCUUUUUCGUAGGCGUUCACGGGAGGAAAAGGAAAAAAUUUCUACAGAGGCUUAAGAGAACCUUUCCAUGAGGGCUGAUCCCAAAUACCUAAGACAGAAUAGAGGCUUUUGAAAGGAACUUUUAAAAAUAACGGGAUACGCUGAAAAUAAUAUUUAACCCAGUGACUGCGCAUCAAAGUGAGAAGAUUAUAUGCUAGAAUGGCACAUGGCGUGCAUUCCACGGUCCGCAUAGCUGAUUGCCAUGCAGUGCCUUGGGAGCAAGCUCCAUGCUUUCAAUGCCAUUGUAUGAUGAGGAUCCAUCAAAUCUACUCAAGCAGAGGCGUGAUCAGAUCUAUGCUGCUGGAAUAUUCACAGGAGCUGCAGAGGAAACGACGGGAAUAAACGGAAGAGUUGGGGGUAAUGGAGGUAGACAGACCCAGCUAGGAUCUCACCGUUUAUCUGAAGAUUUGAGAACUUACUAAGAUGUAAAAGCAUAUGUAUAAGCUCUGGCUCCUAAUAGAUGACUCAGCAGAAGUUUGUUGAAUUCCUUUCACCUUCUCUCCCUUCUCCUUCCAAUUGUGUUUAACCUCAGAGUGGCAGCUGAGUGGGAGCGAAUCCUUUGUUGGAAUUUUGCGGAUGAGGAAUUUAGGCAUGAAAAGAAAAACAGCUAGCCCAAGUUCCAGCCACUAGUAAGUGGCAGGGAUGGAAUUUGAACCCAGACAUUCGGACUCCAGAGGUUGGGUGUGUGAUCAGCACACUAAGCCCCCUCUCACUGCCUGGGAGCUUUGUUGUAAGGAUUAAAUGAGAGGACGUGUGUCUCUUGCUGAGAUGAUAACGUGGUUAACCCUUUGAUGAUGCCUUACUCCUCUCCCAAUAUCUGUCCUCCUGGUCUGUGGCCUUAACCUGGUCACUUCCCAUUUUUCAGAGUCUCACCUUGGCCCUUGCAGCUCUGUAUUUAUCCUCAUCCCAAGGCUACAACUCUUUCCUACAGUCUUCAGAUUUUCUAAUCCCAGGCCCCACACAUACACUCCAGUGCCUUCUCACAAAAUACGCUUCCCGUGGCCUUUGUGAAAUAAUGGAACCUCUUCAUACCUGGUGCUUUUGCUUCAUUAAGUACCAAAAGUGGGAUGCCGAGGAGCUCCUUUUGACCAGAGAUCUUGUGUGUUACAGAGACAUUGAUCAAUGUUGCUGAGAUGCUGCUCUACCUAAAAUAUUUGCACCCAAAGUUCUGAGCUGCUUGACCCAGGAGAGUCCAGUCCAUUGGCUGGCCAGAGAACAAUUCAAUUUUCUUUCUCUCUCUCACUUCAACUUAAACUCAGAGACUCAGGGACUGAGAUGCUGGAACUUGGAAAUCAGGUGGAGGAGGAGCCUGGGCUCUGCUCAUGGACCCAUGAGAGCUGGACCAGAGAGGGAAGAGCUGAGGGACUGUGCAGCCCUUAACCUUGAGUCCUGACUUUCAUUUACAUGGGACCUUUGGCUAUACUUUCUGCCCUUGGGGUCUAUGAGAUAUGCCCUGUCUGCUUCCAUAAGCUCUCCUUUGGGGUUUGUGUCAUUUUCAAAAUGGAUUUCUGUUUCUUAAAAUCAAAUAUUCCCCGAGUCUGCUCUAGAACCAUGGAUGGUGCUCUCAUGUAUGAGUUUUAUGUGCUCUCAAUAAACCCCAUCAGAGCCGGAUUUUUAAAAAGUGUCAGGGGAAGUGAUCAAACCCCUGCUGAGAUGGCACUGAAAGUAGAUUUCUUUGCUCAUAGCUUAUAAUGAUGUAAAACAGGCUGUUUCCGCUGCCUCCUAUUUUUUUUAACCUUCCAGAUAGUUCAUGCCACAGGUCUCUACAAAGCAUUUCUCUACUUCUAACUGGCUUAAAAUAUUUGGUCAGCCAUGGUCUAACCAGGUUGCUAAGUAUGAGAACUAGUUGUAACAGCUAAUUUUAUAAGCCCUAAGAAUAAUGGUGCUGGAGAAUAUUCAUGCAGAGUAUGGGCUACCAAUCAAUUUUAGGAUUCAGGUACUGCAUCUGUUUGUAAUUGCGCUAAGUCUGCGUGUGCACACACACACGCAUGCACAGCCGGAUUCCACAACACAAAAGACAGCACUUGACUUUUGAAAAUACGUCUUUUUUGAUUUUGACAGUGAGCUAUGCCAGGUGGUCAAUUUGAAUGACCAUUAAUCAGAGUAAUGGUGUGUCAAAGGAGGCAGGAAUCAUUAGGAAGGUAUUGUCUCUGGAGGGUUUUGCAAUUUUCCAAAAUUAUUUUUAUCUAAAGAGACUUAUGAGGCUCCACAGUGACAUAUGUGUCCUAUUUACUCCAUCAGAACCAGAGUGGCCUAGCACAGAUGCACCAAUGAGAGAAGUGCUAGAUCAGGCUGGAGACGGCUGCCUUCUGAGGGGUCAGGGCAGACUGCAACAAGGGGUCAGCACAAGGACAUCAUCUUAUCCAAAGGAUGCAUGUGUGAGGUAGGGGUACCCCAGGGGAGCGAAGGUCCUGCCUAUUGCCAGGUCUCUGGAGACUGGCAUCACCAGGGGGUGAUGGGCAGGCUAGCCACGUGCUGCAAAGGCACAGUGACUGGCGGUGGGAUGGGUCUGCGUCCUCAAAAAGGGGAGGCUUUCUGUCACAGAAAAAUACUCAAUUUUAAAGGGACAUAGUUUAGCUAGUCACCCUUGGAUAUCUGAACAUUGAGAUUAAACUGUAAAACUGUCAUAAAAGGAAGCAUGAAGAUUAAUAGAUAAAAUUCUUUAGCACUUUAAUUUUGUAGAAUUCAAAAUAUAAGAAAAUGAAUUUCCUGGCCUCUUGCCAAAGCAGAUAUAAAUAAGUAGCGAUCGAGACUCUAAUUUCCUGAGGAUCUUAAUAAAGAGAAAUAUUUAUGGUUUAAAAUUACCUCUGAAAUUAUGCUGCAAAGAAUAGUUAGUUUAUGACUUCAGAGAACAAAAAGAAACUUGCAAAUACUUGAUGUUGGCAGAUCAAUUAAGUGGUAAUACAUGCUACAUUAUAAUUUUAAUCACCAUGAAAUUAAAAUAUGAUAAUGAGUGUUAACAUGACUUUAUCCUUUCAAACUAUGAUUUAAUUUAUGGAACUUUUCUUGACUACUUCCUUAUUUCCUUGGUUAUUUUUUCUUAUUCAGUGUGCUACUUUAGAUUACGCACUUUCCAAUGCAUAUUAUUCAAGACAGCCACCAAUUAAUGAGUUCUUCCCUUAUCAAUUAAGGAUCUUGUAGGCUGUUCUUGCUCAUUUUAAUCUAGUUCUUUCUGCAUCCCUACAUAAAAUUCAUGGAGAAUGAAAAUAACCCUUCUUCUUUUAAAGGUCUUUUUGUUUUUCAAGGUGUUUAGUUUUUCCAGGGAUACACAGAUAACCCAAACGUGAGAUUGCGCUCUUCAAAGGCAGCCUUCCUCUAACAUAUUUGGGGAAAGGGGAGGAGUUUGUUUUAGGCAUCCAUGUAGCAGCUAUAUGGACCUGGCGCGCUUCUCCUCUCCCAUCUCUGUUGGUGUUCCGGGUCCUUUCCAUGCUAUGAAACCUCCAUCCCACACUGGCCUCCGCGGAUGGAUGGUGUUGCAAGGACCGCUUUUCCCUUUACUGCUCAAACCUCUAAUUCCCAACACCUCACUUUCAAAGCUUCAAGCUGGGACGUCCAAAAGUUGUCUCAAUAAAGGAGAGGGAAAUGUUUAAUAGUACACCAAAAGUGACUCAGGCUGUCUAUGGGAAAUGAACAACAAAAAAGGAUAAACUCUUCACAGAAGAUCCCACUAUGUCUCUCCAAGGCAUCAGUUUACUCCUUGCAUCUUGAUGUUAGCCCUCCUCUCUGCCCCUCCAGAUUACCCCUCUUCUUCUUCUGUCCCCUGCAUGUAAAACUGCACCCCUCCUCCACAGUGAGGGAAAGCUCACUCCCUACCCAUAGCUGUUGGUCUAACCCUAGAAGCCAUUUAUUCCACCCAAUCAGGCAAUUCCAGGGUCUCCAUAACCCCAUUUCCCAAACGCAGAUUUUUUUUUUAGAAUCUGCUUUAUUCAGCCAAAAACAUCAUGAAGGGGGCAGGGUGGGUUAAGAGUGGGGUGCUGAAGCAAGACAGUCUUGGGUAGGUUUCUGCACUGAAACCAACAUAAUUUCCUGUCCCAGCAGUAAAUGAUGCUGCGACCAGGCACACUUUCCUAUGCCUGAUAAACAAUACCGAGAGUAAGCAAACACAACUGAGUUGCUUGCUCCAGGAAACACCAACUCCUGCAAGGGAGGCUGUGAGCCAACUAAACAGUUAAAUUAUCAAAACUAAGAGCAUGCUCAUCAAAACUCACUUCAAAACCCUAACCUCACUGCACUCACCAAUCUAAAGCUAUUCUGCCAGAAACUCUACCUAAGUCAAUUCUAAUGACUUCCUUGCCUUGCAAGAUUUGUCCCUGUCCAGGUCCUUGUUAUGUGCUUCAGCGACUCCGUGUCAGCUAGAGGAUAAAGUGAAAACUUUUGUAAGGUAAUCCUGGUUUAUCUGUCCAGCCUCAUCUCCAUCACUCCAACAUUGAACUUUAUUCCAGAACCCUGACGAAUUUGUAACCACCCUCAACACACACGUGCAUACCAAGAUGUUUCACGUCUCUGUGCCUUCAUUCAUUUCUCUCAUUUUGCAUACCCUCCUCCUCUCUCCCUUGUUGCCUUGCGUAAGUUCUCCUCAACUUUCACUAGUCUGAGGCCUCUCUUCAGGAAGCCUUCGCUGAGCCUCAGGCAACAUUAGGUGGCCACCCUUUCUCUUUUCUCAGAGCCCCUGUGGUCUUACACAUUGCAUUGGGCUGGUCCUGGCCUCUCAGCAGAGCUCCACGAGAACAGAAACUGUCAUAUGAGACCUGAAGAUCUCCAUACCCAGGAGUUCCAGAUACACGGGAAUGCUCAGUUGGUGUGUGGUGAACUGAACUGGACUGGAUUUCGCCAUCGUGGUACUGCUUUUGGAAUCCUUUUGGCAAUCUUCUACAACUUUUCAAACUGGGGCAGCUUGCUUAGAAUCCUGACUUCUUUCCAUCAACCAUUUGCUUGUUUUGCAAAAUGUCAUUAAAACAAAAGAUGCCGUGAGUAUACCCCAACAUCAAGAUUUUACGUCUCUGAGACAAGAUCGUGAGAAGGGAAUUGACUUGAAAAUGAUUAAUAGACUUGAUAUUUAGACUUUCCAGCCUUGGUUUCCAGCUUUUCACCUUGCAUUUAAUUUUGAGAAAGACCAGGCUGUAGCUGCAGCUUCAUCUUACAGCUCGCGUCUCUGCGUUGGACUGACCAGUCCACCAGACUUUCAUCACGCCCAAUAGACCUAGAGAGGAGGCACAAUUAAAAAGAAGCAUUUGAGGAGCAGCUGAACUGGAGUAGAAGAAGGAUUGUUAAUUAAUUUUUCCCCAUCUCACCUCGAACAAUGACAGGCAGUUGGCUUUCUAUCCCCACCCCAGUCAGCCUUGGUGAGGAUGCAGGUGGCCAAGGCUGCACGAAUCGGCGUAUGAGCAGAACAGGAAAUCUAGUAAGCUGGCCAGACUUAAUGCUGCUGAGCUUCUGAUUUGGAGACAUCACUAUAUUGACUUUUUUCUUUUUUUUGAGGAAGAUUAGCCCUGAGCUAACUACUGCCAAUCCUCCUCUUUUUGCUG